rnacentral:rRNA from 1 species
GCCUUGUGUCCGUUGAACGUGGUGACUCUGUAUAACUUUGGGCUGAUCGCACGGGCUCGUCCCGGCGACGUAUCCUUCAAGUGUCUGCCUUAUCAACUGUCGAUGGUAGGUUAUGCGCCUACCAUGGUCGUAACGGGUGACGGGGAAUCAGGGUUCGAUUCCGGAGAGGGAGCCUGAGAAACGGCUACCACAUCCAAGGAAGGCAGCAGGCGCGCAAAUUACCCAAUCCCGGAACGGGGAGGUAGUGACGAAAAAUAACAAUACGGGACUCUUUUGAGACCCCGUAAUUGGAAUGAGAACACUCUAAAUCCUUUAACGAUUAUCAAUUGGAGGGCAAGCCAAGUGCCAGCAGCCGCGGUAACACUUGCUCCAAUAGCGUAUAUUAAAGUUGUUGCGGUUAAAAAGCUCGUAGUUGGAUCUCAGUUCUAGUCUAGCGGUCUGCCUACCGGCAGUCACUGCUGGUUCUGAACAAACCAGUCGGUUUCCCUUGAUGAUCUUCACCGGUUGUCUCGGGUGACCGACAAGUUUACUUUGAAUAAAUUAGAGUGCUCAAAGCAGGCGUGACGCCUGAACAAUGGUGCAUGGAAUAAUGGAAUAGGACCUCGGUUCUAUUUUGUUGGUUUUCGGAACACGAGGUAAUGAUUAAGAGGGACAGACGGGGGCAUUCGUAUUGCGACGCUAGAGGUGAAAUUCUUGGACCGUCGCAAGACGAACUACUGCGAAAGCAUUUGCCAAGAAUGCUUCCAUUAAUCAAGAACGAAAGUUAGAGGUUCGAAGGCGAUCAGAUACCGCCCUAGUUCUAACCAUAAACGAUGCCAGCCAGCGAUCCGGCUGCGUUCCUCAAAUGACGCGCCGGGCAGCUUCCGGAAGCUCUACCAGGCCAGGACACAAGUAGGAUUGACAGAUUAAGAGCUCUUUCUUGAUUUUGUGGGUAGUGGUGCAUGGCCGCUCUUGGUUCGUGUAGUGAUUUGUCUGGUUAAUUCUGAUAACGGACGAGGCUCUAGCCUACUAAAUAGACGCUCGGAUCAUUCCUAGUCCGGCGUUUCUUCUUAGAGGGACUGGCGGCGUUCAGCCGCACGAGGUUGAGCAAUAGCAGGUCUGUUAUGCCCUUAGAUGUCCUGGGCCACACGCGUGAUACAUUGAAGGAAUCAGCGUGUGCUUUCCCUGUCCGACAGGACUGGGUAACCCGUUGAACCUCCUUCGUGCUGGGGAUAGGGGAUUGAAAUUGUCCCCCUUGAACGAGGAACUCCUAGUAAGUGCGAGUCAUCAUCUCGCGUUGAUUAGGUCCCUGGCCCUUGUCCACACCGCCCGUCGCUAUUACCGAUUGAAUGUCUUAGUGAGGACUUCGGAUUGGCUGUCGAUUUGGCUUUAGGGUCGAGCCGACGUGCCGAGAAGAUGUCCAAACUUGGUCAUUUAGAGGAAAUAAAAGUCGUAACAAGGUACCCGUAGGUGAACCUGCG